ACAAGGAAGGGAGCAAUGGGGCCAGCCAACAGUGGACUGGGGCUACAAAAAUGGACUUCUGAUACCAUGCUGUAUAAGAGUGGUGAGUGAACACAUCCGUGGCUUGCUCCUAACCCUAGAAGAAAAGCAUUCAGUUACUCAUUAUUAAGUAUGACGUCACCUAGAAAGAAAGAAAAAUGUCAUAAGAAGAGAAAACAUACAUCACUUGAUUUAUGCCAAAGAGAAUUGCAUCCAAAAUAUGUAAUGAAUUCUUUAAAGAAGAAAACAAACAACAUAAUUAAGAAAUGGGCAAAAAAUAUAAAGGGACACCUCACCAAAGUGAGACAGGUGGCAAGUAAAUAUAUAAAAUAUAUCUGCUAUCACUUAUCUAUAAGGUAAGUAAAUUAAAACCAAAGUAAGAGAGAUGCUGAGAACCACGUGAACCAAUGCUUCUAUUCAGAAAGCUGGCUGGUGUUAAACAGAGAAGAGCCAGAUUUUCAGUU